GGGGACAUAGUUUAAUUGGUAAAACUGUGAUUUUGCAUAUCAUUAUCCUAGGUUCGAUUCCUAGUGUCUCCA